AAUUCCUCAUGCUUAUCCAGUUUAUUUUGUGCUCCAUCUCCAGAUUUUUUUGUGUGUGUUCUUACAGCAUUCAGGAAAAAAAAAAGAAAAAAGAAAAAAUCCUCUUCAGAAAAAUAUGAGUUUCUGUAUUAAGGCAGGGAAAAACACUUGUCAUACAGAGACUAGCAAGACAUCCUAGGAACUAGAGUUCAGAGAACUCUCUUGCUCUCUUACCCCACCCAUGGAGCUGAGCUAUUCAAAGGAAUCCUGCUAUGUUAUUUGCAUUGCUCAGCUUCCUGAGAUUAGCCCCUUAAUCAAUAAGUGCCAGAUAUCGAUUAAAGAUUGUGCUUCAGCCCCAUUGCUGGUGCACGACCACCUAUCUCAACUUUCAAGAGAGUUUGAGCAUUAUUUCCCAACCACAAAAGACUCCCCAGCUGGGAAGGAAGGGAUCUGCAACGCAUUUGUAAAUAAGCCAGGUGAAUCGACUUUUUCUGUCCUGGAAGAGGAUUAACUGCUUGAAAUUGCAAAUGGUGGUAGCCUUAAAAGUUAGUUUGAGACAACUUCAAGUCUUUAUACAUUCCAGAUUAAAGUCAAGGUGGAGUAUCCCAAGACUGCCACAAAACCACUGAAAAAUUUGCUUCCAUUUCCAACAUCCUCUCUUUGUGAAGUAGGGAUUUCUGCAGUGGCAGCAACCAAAAUGAGAUUUCAGAGUAGAUUGGACAUAAGCCAUGAACUUGGGGUGUCAUUGUCUCCCAUUACCCCCAGUUGGGACCAUCUAGUUGCAGGGAAAAAAGCUCAGGGUUUCCACUGAUUCUAUGUUAUGGUGAGUUGUAUAAUCAUUUUGUUAUGUAUUAAAAUGUAAUAAUAAUAGAAAUAAGGUGCACAGUAAAUGCAAUGUGCUUGAAUUAUCCCAAACCCACCACCUCCAAACCCAGUCCUUGGAAAAAUUGUCUUCCAUGAAAUCAGUCCUUACUGCCCAAAAGGUUAAGGGACCAAUGCAUUACAGAAUGUCAUAACUACUGCCUUUUAUAUGACUAAAAUGCUAUACUUCUAAGUAACUGAGACAGGCACAUUGAUCAACAAGUACAAAAUUUAAAAGUAUUUAAUGUUAAGGUCCUUUAGAU
rnacentral:lncRNA from 13 species